rnacentral:rRNA from 1 species
GUCCCAGUUCGGAUUGUAGUCUGCAACCCGACUACAUGAAGCCGGAAUCGCUAGUAAUCGCGGAUCAGAAUGCCGCGGUGAAUACGUUCCCGGGUCUUGUACACACCGCCCGUCACACCAUGGGAGUUGGAAAUGCCCGAAGUCAGUGGCCCAACCGGAAGGGGGGAGCUGCCGAAGGCAGGUUCGAUGACUGGGGUGAAGUCGUAACAAGGUACC